GUGCCCAAUGUGGGAUUCGAACCCAGGUCGUGGGUUUCUAAAUCCGACAGUUUUUACCACUACACCACCAAGCA